AACGAACGCUGGCGGCAUGCCUAACACAUGCGAGUCGAACGAGACCUUCGGGUCUAGUGGCGCACGGGUGCGUAACGCGUGGGAACCUGCCCUUAGGUUCGGUAUAACUCCCCGAAAGGGGUGCUAAUACCGGAUAAUGUCUUCGGACCAAAGAUUUAUCGCCUUUGGAUGGGCCCGCGUUGGAUUAGCUAGUUGGUAGGGUAAAAGCCUACCAAGGCGACGAUCCAUAGCUGGUCUGAGAGGAUGAUCAGCCACACUGGGACUGAGACACGGCCCAGACUCCUACGGGAGGCAGCAGUGGGGAAUAUUGGACAAUGGGCGAAAGCCUGAUCCAGCAAUGCCGCGUGAGUGAUGAAGGCCUUAGGGUUGUAAAGCUCUUUUACCCGGGAUGAUAAUGACAGUACCGGGAGAAUAAGCUCCGGCUAACUCCGUG
rnacentral:rRNA from 1 species